AUGUGGGUGUACCUUCACAAGAGAAGAUGUCACAAACGAUGGCAUAAGAAAAACCAUAGUGGAGAAGAUAUACAAGAAUUAGCCUGGAUCAGAACUGCCACAUUUUGGCCUCCAGAACCAGAGGCAGAAAAGACAGAUCUGGAAGGUGCUUGUCCAGCUGGGACAGAUAAUCAGUAGAGAUGGCACUAAAGAAUACAGGAAGAGUGCUGGACUUGGUAUUGCCUUCUUAGCUUAGGCGAUCUCAACAUGAUGGUAAACCACAUCAAGGAAUUUACAAGCUCUACAAGAUUCCACCCCUGCAGUACAUGAAUGAGACAAGAAGCAUUUACCCCCAUGAAGGUUUCUACAAUUCGACAAACGUCUCUGUGACAGAAUGCACAAAACUAGUGUCCUUUCUAAGAUGCAAACAAAUGUACACAGCAAGCAAAGGCGGACUGGCUAAUUAAAAAGGCAAGGAAACCCAUCCAGCCCAUGCCAUAACGUAGUAGCUAUUCUGGCUUUGAGGAAUUUACCAGUUACUUCAAUUUGUGCAAAAACUUUUCUCACCAAUGCAAGAAAACUUGUUGACAGUAUCAGAAAAUAUCUGUUAUAGUUGAGACCAUUUUUGCAGUUUCUCCCCCAACAAGAAAGAAUUUCUGUCCCUAUUCCACAAAAUCAAAUAUUUGAAACAGUUUCUUGUCUCUGGGAAUAACACUUCUUCCCCAUCCGCACGUCUUCUUCACUGUCAACAGUAUUUCUA